UAGUAGCCCACUCAAGAAAGCGAAAGGACGAGGGGAAGAGACUGAAGAGUCCCCAGGAGCUGGAAAGUUAUUGAAUCAGUGUGACCAGGAGACGACAAGAACUCUGCCUCUUGUGUCUGAGAUACGCUGUUGACUGGAUCUUACAUCCAAGGUUUACUCUGCUUUUCAUUCCCUCUCCUCUGUACAGAAGUCUCCCCAUCGCCACCAGCAUUCCAGUUGGACCUCAGGAGCC